GGGGUCCUACGGGAGGCAGCAGUAGGGAAUCUUUCACAAUGGGCGAAAGCCUGAUGGAGCAACGCCGCGUGCAGGAUGAAGUAUUUCGGUAUGUAAAGCUCUAUCAGCAGGGAAGAGAAUGACGGUACCUGACUAAGAAGCCCCGGCUAACUACGUGCCAGCAGCCGCGGUAAUACGUAGGGGGCGAGCGUUAUCCGGAUUUACUGGGUGUAAAGGGAGCGUAGACGGUUCUGCGAGUCUGAAGUGAAAGCCCGUGGCUUAACCGCGGAACGGCUUUGGAAACUGUGGAACUGGAGUGCUGGAGA
rnacentral:rRNA from 1 species